rnacentral:tRNA from 3 species
GCGGGAAUAGCUCAGUUGGUAGAGCAUCAGCCUUCCAAGCUGAGGGUCGCGGGUUCGAAUCCCGUUUCCCGCUCCA